UGUCCGCCGCUUGGCGGCCGCGUUGAACCUGCAAGUCGAGGGGUAGAGAGUUUUCGGACUUUCGAGACCGGCGAACGGGUGAGUAACACGUAGGGAAUCUACCGUAAGGUUGGGGAUAGCCCUUGGAAACAAGGGGUAAUACCGAAUGUGUUCCUGCUCUGAAAGGGGGAGGAAGAAAGGCGCUUUGGCGCCGCCUUGUGAUGAGCCUGCGUCUGAUUAGGUAGUUGGUGGGGUAAGGGCCUACCAAGCCGACGAUCAGUAGCCGGCCUGAGAGGGUGAUCGGCCACACUGGGACUGAGAUACGGCCCAGACCGCUACGGUGGGCAGCAGGUAAGAAUCUUCCGCAAUGGACGCAAGUCUGACGGAGCGACGCCGCGUGGGUGAAGAAGGCCGUGAGGUUGUAAAGCCCUUUUCUAUCUGAGGAAUAAGCCCUGGAGGGAAUGCCGGGGUGAUGACGGUAGGGUAGGAAUAAGCCCCGGCUAAUUACGUGCCAGCAGCCGCGGUAACACGUAUGGGGCGAGCGUUGUUCGGAAUUAUUGGGCGUAAAGGGCGCGUAGGCGGACGGACAAGUCUGGUGGAAAAGACCGUGGCUCAACCACGGGCAUGCACUGGAAACUGUAGGUCUUGAAUCCUUGAGGGGGAACUGGAAUUCCUGGUGUAGGGGUGAAAUCUGUAGAGAUCAGGAAGAACACCGGUGGCGAAGGCGAGUUCCUGGCAAGUGAUUGACGCUGAGGCGCGAAAGCGUGGGGAGCGAACAGGAUUAGAUACCCUGGUAGUCCACGCCGUAAACGAUGUGCACUAGGCGUUGGGGUGUUGAAACCCCGGUGCUGGAGCUAACGUUGUUAAGUGCACCACCUGGGGAGUAUGCCCGGCAACGGUG
rnacentral:rRNA from 1 species